rnacentral:lncRNA from 1 species
AUGAGAACGUGAGAAGAACCAGUUUUAGGAUUACAAAUAUGUGAGUUAUAAUUCAAGGUAGUAUUGAUUUAUAUAUAAUUGAGAGCCAUUAUAAAUUUAAAUAAAUUAGAUUUAUUUUUUUUCAUUAAAAAGUUAAAAAAAUUAUCUAUUUAAAAAUAUUUUUUAUUUUUAUUUUUAUUUUUUACUAAAUAAAAAUCUAAUAAAUAAACUAUGACUAGUUUUGUAGUAUGUAAUUGCUUGAUUGUACUUAUUCCACUUGUUUUGUGUUGUACUUGUUUUGUUCUUAUUUUUGCUACUUCCUUUUUAUACUACUAAUUACAAACAAGUCUUAAUUGAGGCCAUCUUGUAAUUUGGAUUGAAGAAUAAAAUUUAUCUUUGCACCAAAAGAUGAAUAAGUGAAGUUCAAUAGCAAGAUAAGAAAAUGCAUCUUUAUUUGAUAUGACAUCAAUAGCAAGGUUUGAUGAGACUAUGAUUCUAAAAAAAUGAAUAAUCAUCAAUAGAGAUUUUAUUUUUAACAAAAUAAGAGUUAAUUAUCAAUAUCUUAAUAUCAAUAAUAAUAAGAAUUUUAAAGAUUUAUUUUUUUCACUACUAAGAAAUUUAUAAGAACAAUUGUAAUGGCUCUCAAGGUGGUAAAAUUCAAUUUUACCAAGGUCUUGAAAUCUUCUAUAAAAAUUCUAAAAAAAUUGUAAAAAAUAAUAUAAUAAUUUUAUAAUAAUAAUAUAUAUUCAAAAUUAUAUUUUUAUAUCUUGAUAAUAUUUUACAAUAAUAAAAUAAAUUUAUAUCCAUUAAAAAUUCUAUUUUUUAUAUAAUUAACAAAAAAGACAUGAAGUUCUCUUUUAUGCUUUUUUUAACAAGUAACUAAUAUUUAUAGUUUUUUUUAUAAGUGAUACAUAUAGAUAUAAGGCCAAUAUAAAUAUUAAUCUUUAAUACUCAAUAAUGAAUAAAAAUACUAAACCAACUAAGAUAAUUACUUCUAAGACUUAUUGAGACUCUAUUUCUACAACUAACAUUUUAAUUUUCUAUUUGUCUAAGGAUUUUUACACUACUCACCAUAUAUUAUGAUUUUAAGAUCUCUAAAUACAUCUUUUUGUUCUAAAAUAAUUAAUGAGUUGAUUUGAUGACUCACAUAUGGCACAUGCAAAUAAGCAAUACAAUCAAAUAUCUUUAGGUAUUGUAAUUUUGGUUUCUUCUUAUAAUAUAAUUCUAUUGGUAUCUUUCUAUUAUUGAAUUCACUUGGACACAAGUUUACUAAGUAGUUUGAUGUAUUAAUAGCUUUAGGCUAUAGGCUCAAAUAUAAUUUAUUUUCAUGAAUCAUACUUUUGGCUUUUUCUACUAUUCUUCUAUUGCACCUAUUAGCAAUACCAUUUUGCUAAGAAAUCAGAGCUUAUAUUAUUUGUCUUGUUAUUUUGCAUUUUUUAAAAAAAUAUUGAAAUUCUUUAAAUAAGAAUUAUCUAUUUUUUUUAUUCUAAGCAUGAGCAAUUUCUUAGUUGUUUUUUUUUUUCUUCAACUUGAGCUUUGAAUAUGUAAAACUUAGAGAAUGUUUCUUUUUUGGACUUAAGAAAGUAAAUCCAACUUUGGUAAGAAAAAUUAUUUUUAAAUACUACCAAGUACUUGGUCUUGCUUAGAGAUGGUUUUUAAAUUUAUCCAACUAUAUCUACAUGCACAAGUUGAAGUAGAUUUUUUGAUCUAUUAAGACUUUAU